rnacentral:lncRNA from 1 species
AAUUAAAUCCUAAACCAAAUCCUAAUUCUAAUCAAAUCUUAAUUCUAAUCAAAUUCUAAUUCUAACCAAAAUCUAAAAUCUAAUCAAAUCCUAAUCCUAAUCAAAUUCUAAUCAAAUCCUAAUCAAAUCCUAAUUAAGUCCUAAUCAAAUCCUAGACAAAUCUUAAUUAGAUCCUAAACGAACUCUAAUCCUAACUAAAUCUUAAAUCAA